GGUUGACCCCGGAUCAGGUAGAAUACC
rnacentral:rRNA from 1 species